CUACCGUAGGUUCAGUCAAGAAAAAGAGUAAAUUAUCUGCUGCAUUAGAGUCCGAAAUGGUCACGAACAAGCCAAAUAUUGCCAACUUUGCAGUAAACGUCAAUACUGACACUGAGAAGGGACAGUCAGUGCAUUCAGCUAUACAUGUGGACGAAUCAUUUCGUGUGAUUGAUAGAAAUGCUCAAUAUGAUCAAACAACUGCCGUAGGUUCAGUCAAGCAAAAGAGUAAAUUAUCUGCUGCACUAGAGUCCGAAAAGGUCAUGUACAAGCCAAAUAAUGCCAACUUUGCAGUAAACGCCGAUACUGACACUGAGAAGGGACGGUCAGUGCAUUCACCUAUACAUGUGGACGAAUCAUUUUGUGUGAUUGAUAGAAAUGCUCAAUAUGAUCAAGAAGACGAC
rnacentral:lncRNA from 1 species